GACGAACGCUGGCGGCGUGCCUAAUACAUGCAAGUAGAACGCUGAAGGAGGAGCUUGCUUCUCUGGAUGAGUUGCGAACGGGUGAGUAACGCGUAGGUAACCUGCCUGGUAGCGGGGGAUAACUAUUGGAAACGAUAGCUAAUACCGCAUAAGAGUAGAUGUUGCAUGACAUUUGCUUAAAAGGUGCAAUUGCAUCACUACCAGAUGGACCUGCGUUGUAUUAGCUAGUUGGUGAGGUAACGGCUCACCAAGGCAACGAUACAUAGCCGACCUGAGAGGGGGAUCGGCCACACUGGGACUGAGACACGGCCCAGACUCCUACGGGAGGCAGCAGUAGGGAAUCUUCGGCAAUGGACGGAAGUCUGACCGAGCAGCGCCGCGGGAGUGAAGAAGGUUGUCGGAUCGUAAAGCUCUGUUGUAAGAGAAGAACGAGUGUGAGAGUGGAAAGUUCACACUGUGACGGUAUCUUACCAGAAAGGGACGGCUAACUACGUG
rnacentral:rRNA from 1 species